rnacentral:rRNA from 1 species
UACAGAGGUCCCAAGCGUUGUUCGGAUUCGCUGGGCGUAAAGGGUGCGCAGGUGGUCGAGUAAGUCUGACGUGAAAUCCCGCAGCUUAACUGCGGAAUGGCAUUGGAUACUAUUCGGCUAGAGGGUUGGAGGGGGGACUGGAAUUCUCGGUGUAGCAGUGAAAUGCGUAGAUAUCGAGAGGAACACCAGUGGCGAAGGCGAGUCCCUGGACAACUCCUGACGCUGAGGCACGAAAGCUAGGGGAGCAAACAGG